GACAGAGGGUGCAAACGUUGUUCGGAAUUACUGGGCGUAAAGCGUGCGUAGACGGUUUCGUAAGUCGGGUGUGAAAUCCCCGGGCUCAACCUGGGAAUUGCAUUCGAAACUGCGAGGCUAGGGUACGGAAGAGGGAAGCGGAAUUUCUGGUGUAGCGGUGAAAUGCGUAGAUAUCAGAAGGAACAUCAGUGGCGAAAGCGGCUUCCUGGUCCAGUACCGACGUUCAGGCACGAAAGCGUGGGGAGCAAACAGG
rnacentral:rRNA from 1 species